rnacentral:rRNA from 1 species
AACGAACGCUGGCGGCAGGCUUAACACAUGCAAGUCGAACGCACUCUUCGGAGUGAGUGGCAGACGGGUGAGUAACACGUGGGGAUCUGCCCAAUGGUACGGAAUAGCUCCGGGAAACUGGAAUUAAUACCGUAUGUGCCCGCAAGGGGAAAGAUUUAUCGCCAUUGGAUGAACCCGCGUCGGAUUAGCUAGUUGGUGUGGUAAAGGCGCACCAAGGCGACGAUCCGUAGCUGGUCUGAGAGGAUGACCAGCCACACUGGGACUGAGACACGGCCCAGACUCCUACGGGAGGCAGCAGUGGGGAAUAUUGGACAAUGGGCGCAAGCCUGAUCCAGCCAUGCCGCGUGAGUGAUGAAGGCCUUAGGGUUGUAAAGCUCUUUCGCCGACGAAGAUAAUGACGGUAGUCGGAGAAGAAGCCCCGGCUAACUUCGUGCCAGCCGCCGCCGUAAUAC